rnacentral:rRNA from 1 species
UACGAAGGGUGCAGGCGUUACUCGGAAUUACUGGGCGUAAAGCGUGCGUAGGUGGUUCGUUAAGUCUGAUGUGAAAGCCCUGGGCUCAACCUGGGAAUUGCAUUGGAUACUGGCGGGCUAGAGUACGGUAGAGGGUGGCGGAAUUCCUGGUGUAGCAGUGAAAUGCGUAGAUAUCAGGAGGAACAUCCGUGGCGAAGGCGGCCACCUGGACCAGUACUGACACUGAGGCACGAAAGCGUGGGGAGCAAACAGG